UCAUCUCUGCCAUGACCUCUGCCUCUGAAGAGUUUUCAUCUGAAGCAGAGACUGUGAGGAAGAGGAGGAGCAAUGGUGGAAAAUUAAGCUAAAGCAAUUAGCUGGUGGGGCAUGUUCCAUUUGUUUGGAAUUCUUGUUGUAAUGAUCUGGAUAAUCCCAUUAACUGUCCUGGAGCUCAAGCACUGCCCAUCAGAAGAAAACCUCAGGACUGCAGCACUCAAAUCCUGUCAAACAGAGCCUGCAGACUUAGGGACUCCCUCCUGUGUGAUCCACCAGCUCAGAGCAAUUCUGAGCGUUUCCUGCUGGUCUCCUGCGACAUCCAAGGGAUCUGGGUACCAGUGUGCUUGUGCCUCAUCAGUCAGUGGAAGCUGAGAUCCUGAUUCGUGCAGCUUGGAGCCUGUUGCUGGAAAAAAUGCACUCGUUUUCAAGUAAACACCCUAUUUGCAUUCAAAUGCAAAUGCUAACAAUUGUGUGAACCUGUUGCAGGUGCUGAAAUGUGGCACCUGCUCCGGGGGGUUAAUAACACCAGUAAAAGGAAACGUAGCCAUGAGGCUUGCUUAAUGUGGCCUCAGAGACUGGGUUUGUUCCUCUGGAAAUGUGUGCUAAUGAGAAAGCUAUUCAAUAAACCUCCACUCUUCUA